GCACCUGUAGUUUAAUGGAUAGAAUGUAGGCUUCCGGAGCCUAAGAUGCGGGUUCGAUUCCUGCCAGGUGCGCAA
rnacentral:tRNA from 1 species